rnacentral:misc_RNA from 1 species
AUGCAUCUUCCAAAGACCACCAGCAGCCAGACCAAGCACAAUCCCCAUUCAUAUCUCCUUAACAACACUCGGUCCUUUCAAGGUGGCAUGGGCAAUCUUACCGCCAGCCAUUUGACUUCUAUGGUUAAAGCUAAUAAAUCAUAUGAGUAAUCCAUCUUCAAAAUCGUCAACAGCUCGAGAACAAGGAGCAAGCCAUUUCCAUAUAUAAAUGGAUAAUGAACAUCACCAAUAAAACCCUAACAUAAAAUAGAUACGCUAACAAACAUCAAGGCGUAGAUUGAGAUAGUUAAUCGAAGAUCUAAA